GGCUGCUUUGGGAAGAAGAAAGAAUCAAUGCCCUGAGGAGCUGCCCAUGAGAAACACCAAGAAGUUUUGGACCUGAAAUAAAAUUUGAGGAUGAAAAAUGGAUGCUUUACUUCACAAAUCGAUGAAGGGCAGAUGAAGAGCCUCUGUUGCAGUGAACUCAGAGCAGGGACAUUGUCUUGAGAAAAGAAAAAACAGAGCAGUACAAAGAGAGUUUGAAGAGCCCUGUGGUCCCAAAGGGCUGCCUGCCCCUUCUUUUAGCAGCUUUCAAGGUUCUGUUAGUAAGAUAAAAGGUCCUUGUAGGAGUUGAUGCAGGAUUAGGGCGUACAGUGGGAAUGGCACAGAGAUCAGAAGCAGAGCUCUUUCAAAGCCAAAUGGGCCCCAGCAAAGAGUACAAGCUAAACAAAACACAGGACUCAAUCGAAAACAGGGUGUUUUCUUGAAUUGAUUAUAACCUGAUGGAGCUGCUGGGUAAGAUUUGACUCUAUGGCCAUUGAAGGGGAAAAGAAGGUCACCAGUACAUGUAAGCCAUACAUACGCCCAUGGCAAACAAAGAAGCUUCUGGUUUUCGUGCAAAUAGCAAAUAAGGCAUGCUGCUGCCUUUGACUUCCUAGUUCAGACACCUGUGGUCCACAUGCAGUCCAAUAAAGAGCUUUCUUCAGAUCAAGGCACAGCUAACCAGAAUGACCAAACCUCAUUCUCUGCAUGGAGAGCCACACUGUCUCUCCAAGGCAGCUUGUAUGAGAUUCAGUUGCCUAAAUAUGCGAUUGCAGUGGUGUUUUCUGAGCCUAGGUGGAGGUGUUGGGCCUCCAGGUUCAUCCCAGGAUGUGUGAAUUUCCCCCAGGUCCUGUGCCAUAUCUGCUAGCUGCAUCCAGAUGGUUUGGAUACUCUAGGACAUUUAAAUAACACUGUUGGUUUGAGGGUCCUUUUGUGCUUCAAUAUUAAGUCUUAUGGUUCUGCAGGUUUUGGUGCAAUAUCCCCUCAGCUGUCUGUAAUAGUCCUGUGAUUUUUCACAAGUGUUUGCAAUCAUGUGUGCCCCUGUCUUCAAAGCCCAUGUGCUCUGCAGCCAUCCCACUGCCUUUCACUCACUUCCUUUGCAUUCUGUAUGGGGUAGAGGCUGCACACAGCUGCAGGAUGCUUGGCAAUCUCCAUCUGCCCAGCACAGAGGAGGAGCAGGCUGGUUAAUCCCUUUCCUCCACUCCUUAUUGAGCAAUUAGGCCACUAAAUAAGAUCUUGUUUACUGAUACCCAAAGAGGCUGUGAUUUACUGGGUCUUGUAAUAAAUUUACAUUCAUAAGGAGAUAGCCAGAGGCAAGUCUGGAGUUUUAGCAGUGGCUAAUUUGUAGCUUCACUCUUGGGAUGGGAACAGAAUUUUAAAAGUUCCCGAUAAUAAAGCAAUGUGUUUAAAAUCCCUAGUCCAAAAUAAAAUAUGAAUGUUUGCUUCAAAAAACUGUACCCCAAAAAAAAAAUCCUCACUAUAGGGCCUAUCACUGAUGUAAUUGGAAUCAUUACCAGCAUGGCUACAGCUUACCCAGGGUGCCUCUGUGUGGGCUGUGCCUUUUGAUGGGGUAGAGGCAAGGCCGGUGCAGUGGUCCAAGGGCUGGAACAAUGCUGGUUUCUGCACUGCUGCUCCUUUUUGGUAAGAAUUUUGUUUUUUGCUGUGAAAUGUUCUAUGUUCAGGGCCAGACUGAUUCCUUUUCAUGUGGUAUC